UGCACCGCGCAUCAACGGUAUCAGGAUGCUGGGACUUUGAGCCUGCCUCAAAAACGGAUGUUGUAGUAACUCCGCAGCCGUGACUCUCUGAGCAGGAUCACGAACCAGCAUUCUUUCGAGGAACCCUUGUAGUCGAGGGCUCACCUGGAUAGAUACAAACAGUUUGGGCGGUGGCAUAUCUCUGAUUCGUCGCAUCGCUUGUAAGGGAGGCUCGUUGAAGAAUGGUGGCUCGCCAUCCACCAUUUCUAUAAUCAUUAUACCCAGUGACCAGAUGUCCACUUCAGGUCCAUAUGGUAACCUGAUGAUUUACCUUGAUAUGACUUCUGGGCUCAUCCAAUAAGGAGUUCCUACCAAAGAUUUCCUUUUAGGUAGUUCCUGGGAUACUUGAGCACAAAAACCAAAGUCUGAUAAUUUUACUCUGCCAUCUGCCGCGAGCAGAAUAGAAUCAGACUUAAUAUCUCUGUGAAUGACUCCUUGGGAAUGCAGAUAAGCCAAAGGUUUUAAACAUUGUGAACAAACUGUCGCUAUCUGACUCUCAUCCAUCCUCGAAUGUGUAACUAUAUCAACCCAGUAGCCAGAUUUCCAGAUGAUAUCGAGCUUUUUAGAUUUUGAUUUUGAUCUGGAGUAGAAGUUGUAACAGGAGCAGCAGAUACCAUACCGGACUUUGACAAAUUAUGCAUAGACUGAGAAGACUCAAUUGGUUUCUG